UACGGAGGGUGCGAGCGUUGUCCGGAAUCACUGGGCGUAAAGGGCGCGUAGGCGGCGCGGGGGAGUCAACGGUGAAAGCUCGGCGCUCAACGCCGAGUCGGCCGUCGAUACUCCCGUGCUCGAGCACUGUAGAGGCAGGUGGAAUUCCGGGUGUAGCGGUGGAAUGCGUAGAGAUCCGGAAGAACACCGGUGGCGCAAGGCGGCCUGAGCUGG
rnacentral:rRNA from 1 species